rnacentral:rRNA from 1 species
AGGUGCAGGCAUAUUACCCUGCAGCCCAAAACCGGCUACCCACUAAAGGUAAGCAGGGCUGAGCCUUAUUAGUAUCUGGAUGGGAGACCACAUGGAAAAACUAGGCUGCUGUUG